rnacentral:rRNA from 1 species
UACAGAGGUCUCAAGCGUUGUUCGGAUUCAUUGGGCGUAAAGAGCGCGCAGGCGGCUUGGUAAGUCGGAUGUGAAAUCCCGAGGCUCAACCUCGGGUCUGCAUCCGAUACUGCCCGGCUAGAGGUAGGUAGGGGGAGAUCGGAAUUCCUGGUGUAGCGGUGAAAUGCGCAGAUAUCAGGAGGAACACCGGUGGCGAAGGCGGGGUCUCUGGGCCGAUACUGACGCUGGAGGAGCGAAAGCGUGGGGAGCGAACAGG